AUAAACUGGCAGCUGAAAUCGCACGAUGAUCGCAUCAGUGAAAAGUUAGAAAUGCAACUUUUGCUUACUCUACGCUAUUUUGACAUCCUAACCUUCCCCUGUUUCUGACGAACAGUGAUUAUAAGUGAUUAUGCCGUGAUCGUAUGCGUUCAAAGUGACUACAAACACCUAAAAAAUCAUCAUAAAUUCGUAGAAAUCGUCUAAGAGUAAUUUUAGCGCGACUAUAAGCAAUUACAAGGUGACUACAAUUAUUCAAUGCGACUAUCUACAAUCUACGCGUGAAAUUAGGUAUUUACGAGUGAGUCUGAAGCGAUCGAGCGUCAUCGCAACGUGACUAUAAUGGACUAUAACGUAAUUGCUUGCGUUCAACAAAUUGCUAGUUAACACACGUGUGUAUAAAAUGACCGUAUAUAAUGCAAUUAGGGAGGUUAUAACGUGACUAUAAUGGACUAUAACGUAAUUGCUUGCGUUCAACAAAUUGCUAGUUAACACACGUGCGUAUAAAAUGACUGUAUAUAAUGCAAUUAGGGUGGUUAUAACGUGACUAUAAUAGACUAUAACGUAAUUGCUUGCCUUCAACAAAUUGCUAGUUAACACACGUGUGUAUAAAAUGACUGUAUAUAAUGCAAUUAGGGAGGUUAUAACGUGACUAUAAUGGACUAUAACGUAAUUGCUUGCGUUCAACAAAUUACUAGUUAACACACGUGCGUAUAAAAUGACUGUAUAUAAUGCAAUUAGGGAGGUUAUAACGUGACUAUAAUGGACUAUAACGUAAUUGCUUGCGUUCAACAAAUUGCUAAUUAACACACGUGUGUAUAAAAUGACUGUAUAUAAUGCAAUUAUAACGUAGCCAUAAAUGACUAUAAUAUUAUAUGUGCGAUUAUCUCCGACUACUAAUUGAUGGAAGAAUUUUUAUACCCCACGUGUAGAAUUUUUCGCGGAGAAAAUUUCUAUCUAGGGGACAUGGAAUUUUGUUUUGAAGAGAGGAAAUUCAUCGAAAUUUUCGUAGUCACGCGUUCACGCACGGUCAUAUUGACGAACACGCUGAUAUUAAAUUCCGAAGCUGAUAUCGGCUACAGUAUCUUUGCGCAAGAACGUCAAAUUGUUCUGUCACGUGCAGGAAAUUGAAUUCCAGCGAUGGCAACGAGAGAGGCGCGUCAAAGGUAACAAGAUGAAAGCGUUAAAAACGAAAAAGGGAAAAAACGAAGAAUAUAAAAGUAAACGCGAGAGAACUCGAGAUUAAACGUGUAGGUGAGCGAUCAUUUUGCCAUAAAAUCGUUCUGCGCAAUCUCAUUUUCUGUCAACAGGUUGGUGCCGCGACUUUCUAACCUAUAUCUGCUAUACGUACGAUCUUUUUCACGGUAUUUGACGCGUUCGCGAAAAUUAGAAACCGUUCACUGUAGGUACACAUAUGUUUUUUUUAUAAUACAUUACUGUAACAGUAAAUUAUUUUAAUGGAAGAUUUUUUUUCCGGAAAAAUUUUCUUCGUUAAUAACCGGUGACGUAUAUGUAUGUAUACGUCGUUUCAUAUAACUGCGAUAUAUUUGUAACGCGUAUGUCGCGCCAUUUUUUAUAAAUACUCAUAGGUGCCACAUUUUGUUAAGUUUGUAAGAUAAAUAAACUAUACAUACACGUUCUAGAGACGAAAGUACUUGCUCCUAGAUGUUAACAGUUCGUAAUAUCGUUGGUCGACGUUUAAAGGUGUAAUACGAAUCGUUUAAUCGAAACGGGUAAUUUUACGGUCGAUGAAUAUACGACCAAUCGAGCGAGGAAGAUUUAACGAGGCCAACCGUGAUCUGAGGAUUGAUUGCACUUCCGAUAAACUAUCUCUAACGAGUAAUAACACCGCUCUAGGGCAAUUCGAUAUCCUGUACCAAGGAUUAAUUAACCUUAUACUAUUAAAGUAAUUAUUAUAAAAAAUAAACGGCAUUUUUUUGGCUGCUGUAAAAAUUAUAACGUUGUUUUCGAUGUUAGUAAGUAAACCGAGGAUUGUAAUGCAUUGGAAAUAUUUCAAAAUAAUUGCAUUUUUCGAAGUGCUUUAAUGCAAGGUUACGCUUCAUUGCAAAUUUACUCGCAAGAGAUUUGCAUUUGCACGAGCAACCUCAGCCCAGUGAUAAUUAACGUGCACGCGAAUAAAAACCUACAGUCGGGAAAUGUUUUCCUAAUUACGUUCAACAAACACGCAAGCUCAGACUCUUUAAACACUCGUGGUUGGCGAAGAGGCUGCUGUUUUUUAAGCAAUUUUAAAUUCAGGUCGAGCAACUUUUUUCUCCCUUUUUCUUCUUUUUUUUUUUUUUUUUGCUCUCUGUUCACAGGGACCAACCACUACGAACCACUUCGUUACCAACCCGCGGCGCAGAGACACGGUAAUUGUGAAAUAUUAAAAAAGAAUUGGAUUAUAUCUCGUACGAAAGCUAUUUUCUGCUUCCCGAAAUUUUAAUCAUCGUGAGAGAUCGCUUGUCUUCUAUUUUUUUAAUCUAAUUCCGAAUUGUUUGCGAGAGGAAACUUUGUUAAUUAAAACGGCUCCCCAUUUUAUUAUACGGGAUAAUUAAUAAUCCUCAUAAUUCUUCAAUUAAUUUCUAAUAAAUGAGAAGGCGAAUCGAUUUCUCAGAUUUGUCAUAGUCUUCGCUAAAUAAAAAAGCCGUGAUAAAUUGGAAAAAAGAAUCUAUUCAAAUCAUCGUAUUACUCGUAAAAAAAUACUACAACCGUUCCUCUAUUUUUUUCGAAAGCCUACGUCUUAUACAAAAAAAAAAAAAAAAAAUAAAAAGAAAAAGAAAACAA